GACGAACGCUGGCGGCGUGCUUAACACAUGCAAGUCGAACGGAAAGGCCCUGCUUUUGUGGGGUGCUCGAGUGGCGAACGGGUGUGUAACACGUGAGUAACCUGCCCUUGACUUUGGGAUAACUUCAGGAAACUGGGGCUAAUACCGGAUAGGAGCUCCUGCUGCAUGGGGGGGGUUGGAAAGUUUCGGCGGUUGGGGAUGGACUCGCGGCUUAUCAGCUUGUGGGUGGGGUAGUGGCUUACCAAGGCUUUGACGGGUAGCCGGCCUGAGAGGGUGACCGGCCACAUUGGGACUGAGAUACGGCCCAGACUCCUACGGGAGGCAGCAGUGGGGAAUAUUGCACAAUGGGCGGAAGCCUGAUGCAGCAACGCCGCGUGCGGGAUGACGGCCUUCGGGUUGUAAACCGCUUUCGCCUGUGACGAAGCGUGAGUGACGGUAAUGGGUAGAGAAGCACCGGCUAACUACGUG
rnacentral:rRNA from 1 species